ACCAGGUGUGGUGGUGCGUGCCUGUAGUCCCAGCUACUCUGGAGGCUGAGGUAGGAGGAUCACUUGAGGCCAGGACUUUGAGGCUGCAGUGGGGCAUGAUGAGACCUGUGAAUACCCACUGCAUUCCAGCCUGAGCAACAUAGUGAGACCCCAUUUCUA
ensembl:misc_RNA Metazoa_SRP Metazoan signal recognition particle RNA